AGGACGAACGCUGGCGGCGUGCUUAACACAUGCAAGUCGAGCGGUGAUCCUCCUUCGGGAGGUGAUCAGCGGCGAACGGGUGAGUAACACGUGGGCAACCUGCCCCUCACACUGGGAUAACCUCGGGAAACCGGGGCUAAUACCGGAUACGACCUCGAGCGGCAUCUCUUGAGGUGGAAAGCUCCGACGGUGAGGGAUGGGCCCGCGGCCUAUCAGCUUGUUGGUGGGGUAAUGGCCUACCAAGGCGACGACGGGUAGCCGGCCUGAGAGGGCGCACGGACACACUGGAACUGAAACACGGUCCAGACUCCUACGGGAGGCAGCAGUGGGGAAUUUUGCGCAAUGGGGGAAACCCUGACGCAGCAACGCCGCGUGGAGGAUGAAGUACUUCGGUACGUAAACUCCUUUCGAUCGGGACGAUAAUGACGGUACCGGAAGAAGAAGCCCGGCUAACUUCGUGCCAGCAGCCGC
rnacentral:rRNA from 1 species